AUUUCAAUGAUUUGUUUUGUUCAGGUGUUCCUACCAGUUCUUUAACGCAAGUUGUUCAUUCUGCUGGAAGACGGUUUAUAGUGAGUCCUGUACCUGAAAGUAGGUUACGAGAAUCAAAAGUUUUCACCAGUGACAUAUCAGAUCCAGGUAAGAAUGAUUCAGCCAUGCUUUAGUAAAUCUUACAGCAUCUCUGAUAUGGUGGAAGCUUGAUCAAGCAAUAAUUAAUGAUCAAAUCAAAAGUAGAAAAUUAAAAGUAAUAAAGUCACACAGAAGAAGGAAAUGAAUUAUAAUAGAGAAUGUAGUUGGACAUGACACAUGCACGUGAUUUCAUUGCUCAGGAGACAGAGAGAAGGGGGAUGAUCAGGAGGUCAGCCUGGGUGGCUGAGUGACACUUUGUCUCCAAAAAAGAAAAAAUAGAAAAGAGAAAUAAGAGAAAGACUGCAGACCAUGAAGGACCAGGUGUGCUAAACAACCUAUACAGUAGUGUGUUUCUGUAUUUAGAGGUAAAUUUUUUUUUCAGGUUAGUCUUAUGUUUGAUGGUUUUCAAGAUUAUGUACUCAUAAGCUGCCUUACUAGGGUAAACUGCUCCUUUACUGUUUUACUGCAUGCUGUUUCCUUGGGAGUCUUACUGAUGUGUAGCAUUGUUGAUAAUCCAAUAAUGGUUCUUCAAAAACUCUCUUUUUUAAUCCAUGUGUAUAUAUAGGCUAAUUUCUUUAUUUUUGUUUUCCUUUCUAGUUGUGGCCUCUACAUCUCAGGCCCCUGGAAUGAACUUAUCUCACUCUGCUUCAUCCCUCAGUCUCCAGCAGGCUUUUUCUGAACUGAAACAUGGUCAGAUGACUGAAGGACCCAAUACAGCACCUCCAAAUUUUAAUCACAUGGCGGGACCAACAUUUUCUCCCUUUUUGGCUAGCAUUGCUGGUGUCCAAACUGUAGCAGCAUCCACACCGUCAGUAUCAGUCCCUAUAACAAGCAGUCCUCUUAAUGACAUUUCCACAUCAGUGAUGCAGUCUGAGACUGCACUGCCCACUGAAAAAGGCAUCGUGGGAGUUACCACUACCAGCACAGGUGUGGUAGCUUCAGGUGGUCUCACCACAAUGUCUGUGUCUGAGUCACCAACAUCUUCCAGUGCGGUUUCAAGUUCUACAGUACCUGCAGUUGUCACUGUGUCCACACCAUCCCAGCCAGUUCAGGCUUCCACAUCUGGGAGCAUUGCUUCAAGUACAGGCAGUUUUCCUCCUGGAACAUUUUCUACAACUACAGCUACUACAAUGGGUAGUGUGGUGGCCCCAGAUGCUAAGCCUCCAACUGUAUUAUUGCAACAGGUAGCAAGCAAUACUGCUGGGGUUGCCAUAGUGACAUCAGUCUCUACCACCACUCCAUUCCCAGGCAUGGCUUCACAGCCAUCCCUUCCACUUAGUAGCAGCACCUCUGCUCCUACUCUAGCUGAAACAAUGGUGGUUAGUGCACACUCACUAGACAAGGCAUCUCACAGUAGUACAGCAGGAUUGGGUUUGUCCUUUUGUGCGCCAUCCUCUUCCUCCUCCUCUGGAACAGCUGUGUCUACUUCUGUUUCUCAGCCUGGUAUGGUUCAUCCUUUGGUCAUCUCAUCAGCUGUAGUUUCUACACCUGGCCUCCCCCAACCAGUAGUACCUACUUCUACACCUUUAUUACCCCAAGUACCUAAUAUCCCACCCUUGGUACAACCUGUUGUUAAUGUGCCUGCUGUACAGCAAACACUCAUUCACAGUCAGCCUCAACCAGCUCUGCUUCCCAACCAGCCUCACACACACUGUCCUGAAAUGGAUGCUGAUACCCAAUCCAAAGCUCCUGGGAUUGAUGAUAUAAAGACUCUGGAGGAAAAGCUGAGAUCUCUCUUUAGUGAACACAGCUCAUCUGGAACUCAGCAUGCUUCUGUCUCCCUAGAGACACCUUUAGUAGUAGAGACGACUGUCACACCGGGCAUCACUACCACUGCUGUAGCACCAAGUAAACUCAUGACUUCCACUACAAGUACUUGCUUACCACCAACCAGUUUACCAUUAGGAGCAGCUGGCAUGCCAGUUAUGCCAGUAGGCACACCUGGGCAGGUUUCUACCCCAGGCACACACGCUUCAGCCCCAGUCGGCACUGCAACAGGAGUAAAACCUGGAACAACUCCCCCAAAGCCAACUAAGACUGUGGUAAGAGUCAUCAUACAAUGACUAAAUAAAUAUGAUUACUUUUCUUUCCUCUCAAUAAUUACAUGUUUUCAGCUGAGUCUUGCAAGUUAUGAAGGUGCCUGGCAUAUAAACUCGUCUCUCAGUCUUAAAGUGACAACAGUUUUAGGAUCUAAGUAUAGGUAACACAAGAAUGUUCUCUUAGUUUGGAAUGUGGCUAGAUUUUUAGGUUAUAUUGAACAGUUUUCUUAGAAUGUAGAAUUAUCAGGUAAAAUAAAUAAUGGUCAAGUAAAAUACAGGUUUUUCCCUGGGUCUUAUGCCUCAUGUCUAUUACCCCAACACUUGAAGACAGAAGGUAGUUACAAGUUACAGGAAAGCCUGGGCACUACAAUGAGUUACAGGCCAGUCUUGGCUAUAGAAUAGGGCUUUGUCUCUAAAUAAAGAAAUAGG
rnacentral:lncRNA from 1 species